ACGAGUUAGGGUCUCUCAGGCCCGACCUCCCAACCCUUUGUUUAACAAACUUUGUUGCUUCGGCGAGCCCGUCUUCACGGACCGCCGGGGGACCGUCUCAGGUCCUCUGGCCAGCGCUCGUCGAUAGCCCAAACCUAAAAUUCUUAACUAAACGUGUCAUGUCUAAGUACAAUUAUUAAAUAAAAGCA
rnacentral:misc_RNA from 1 species